rnacentral:rRNA from 1 species
UGGGGAAUAUUGGACAAUGGGCGCAAGCCUGAUCCAGCCAUGCCGCGUGAGUGAUGAAGGCCCUAGGGUUGUAAAGCUCUUUUGUACGGGAAGAUAAUGACGGUACCGUAAGAAUAAGCCCCGGCUAACUUCGUGCCAGCAGCCGCGGUAAUACGAAGGGGGCUAGCGUUGCUCGGAAUCACUGGGCGUAAAGGGUGCGUAGGCGGGUUUUUAAGUCAGAGGUGAAAUCCUGGAGCUCAACUCCAGAACUGCCUUUGAUACUGGGAAUCUUGAGUAUGGAAGAGGUGAGUGGAACUGCGAGUGUAGAGGUGAAAUUCGUAGAUAUUCGCAAGAACACCAGUGGCGAAGGCGGCUCACUGGUCCAUAACUGACGCUGAGGCACGAAAGCGUGGGGAGCAAACA